CUCCUUGCUUCUUUCCCUCCGCACUAUAUAUGGGAUCAGAAAACUCAAAACUCGCAUUCUGAAAUUCAUGUCUUGUCAUGGGUGCAGUGGAGGUGUAGGUUUUGUUGGUGCACAAGCCAUAGUGCCUGUGAGAUGGUGACCUCUUUCUCUUUCAUAGCAGGAGAGUUGAGGCUAGCUAGUAUGUUAGUGGGGGGCAUGGUCAUUUGGGAUUCUUACCUUCUGUGAUCGGUUGGAGCUGGCUGCUGCCUCAGUUGCGGGUGUGGUAAUACAACAGAGAUCUGCUUAAUAUGGGCUGUGUGGUUGAGAACAGGGAAAACAAACGAACAAACAAGUUGGCUAUUAUUAAUUGCUUCUGAUUCUUCAAAGAACAAAGCAUGAAACCUUGGGAGUUAAAUAGUAAGCCAUCUUUGGAUUAGGUUUUAGCUUGAUGCUAACUUGGUUGUUUCAACAGCAGUGCUACAGCCUACCGCCUGGUGAGAACUGUGUCGAAUUCUGUAGGAAUGGAUGGAGUACAAGUUUUGAGGAGUGGAUCAACGUUACGUUUGGGAUGAAUAUUAAUUCAGCCCCAAUUCUAGAGUGACCAGAGGGAGGUUCAUUCCACAAGGAAAUAUAUAGGACAAUCAUAGAGCAAGGAGAUUGAUCCUUCAAUUGUAUGCCUAUGCAAAAAUCUAUCCACUGCAGUGGUUCUCCCAAGCACAAAACAUUGUAAAACUUUCAGUUUAUAUGGCUGUUAGGGAAAGCCUCUUGCAUAUUCUAUAGACAUGUUCUUUUCACUGUAGGAUUCUGGUUAUCAUUAUUUCGUUUUAUAUGCUUCUAAUCCCAGCUGCUUGCAAGGAAACUUGGACUGGCUCCUCUAAAAGCUUGUAAAGGAAUUUGGGCGCUUUAUUCCAAGCUAACUAUUGCUUUGCUGUUAUGU